rnacentral:rRNA from 1 species
GACGAACGCUGGCGGCGUGCUUAACACAUGCAAGUCGAGCGGUAAGGCCCUUUCGGGGGUACACGAGCGGCGAACGGGUGAGUAACACGUGGGUGACCUGCCCUUAGCUCUGGGAUAAGCCUGGGAAACUGGGUCUAAUACCGGAUAUGACUCCAUAACGCAUGUUGUGGGGUGGAAAGCCUUGUGCGGCUAGGGAUGGGCCCGCGGCCUAUCAGCUUGUUGGUGGGGUGAUGGCCACCAAGGCGACGACGGGUAGCCGGCC